rnacentral:rRNA from 1 species
AGUGAACGUUGGCGGUAGGCCUAACACAUGCAAGUCGAACGGCAGCACAGUAAGAGCUUGCUCUUACGGGUGGCGAGUGGCGGACGGGUGAGGAAUACAUCGGAAUCUACUUUUUCGUGGGGGAUAACGUAGGGAAACUUACGCUAAUACCGCAUACGACCUACGGGUGAAAGCAGGGGAUCUUCGGACCUUGCGCGAUUGAAUGAGCCGAUGUCGGCUUAGCUAGUUGGCGGGGUAACGGCCCACCACGGCGACGAUCCGUAGCUGGUCUGAGAGGAUGAUCAGCCACACUGGAACGGAGACACGGUCCAGACUCCUACGGGAGGCAGCAGUGGGGAAUAUUGGACAAUGGGCGCAAGCCUGAUCCAGCCAUACCGCGUGGGUGAAGAAGGCCUUCGGGUUGUAAAGCCCUUUUGUUGGGAAAGAAAAGCAGCAGGUUAAUACCCCGCUGUUCUGACGGUACCCAAAGAAUAAGCACCGGCUAACUUCGUG